GUGGGGAAUCUUGCGCAAUGGGCGAAAGCCUGACGCAGCCAUGCCGCGUGAAUGAUGAAGGUCUUAGGAUUGUAAAAUUCUUUCACCGGGGACGAUAAUGACGGUACCCGGAGAAGAAGCCCCGGCUAACUUCGUGCCAGCAGCCGCGGUAAUACGAAGGGGGCUAGCGUUGCUCGGAAUUACUGGGCGUAAAGGGCGCGUAGGCGGACAGGUUAGUCAGAGGUGAAAGCCCAGGGCUCAACCUUGGAAUUGCCUUUGAUACUGGCUGUCUUGAGUACGGGAGAGGUGAGUGGAACUCCGAGUGUAGAGGUGAAAUUCGUAGAUAUUCGGAAGAACACCAGUGGCGAAGGCGACUCACUGGCCCAAUACUGACGCUGAGGCGCGAAAGCGUGGGGAGCAAACAGGAUUAGAAACCCUAGUAGUCC
rnacentral:rRNA from 1 species